GACACGACUCUCGGCAAUGGAUAUCUCGGCUCUCGCAUCGAUGAAGAGCGCAGCGAAAUGCGAUA
rnacentral:rRNA from 25 species